CAGGUGCUGGCCGGCCUGGGAGGUGGAUGGAGGGACAGGGCCUCUCGGUUCCCCCCGUCACCAGGUGCUGGCCGGCCUGGGAGGUGGACGGAGGGACAGGGCAUCUCGGUUCCCCCCGUCACCAGGUGCUGGCCGGCCUGGGAGGUGGAUGGAGGGACAGGGCCUCUCGGUUCCCCCCGUCACCAGGUGCUGGCCGGCCUGGGAGGUGGAUGGAGGGACAGGGCCUUUUGAUCACUCCUUGGCCAGUCUGGUCCUGGCCUUUGCUGCACACAAAGGGGAUGGUUUGAGGGACGGAGCAUCUUAGAGCCUCACAGGUUCCUUCCAGCUUCAGCACACAGCAGCCUUCUGUGCAGAAAGCGGAUUGAUUCCUGUGUCAGAAAUCGGUGAAAGCGCCGCCUGCUCCACGGGAGAAUGAGGGAAGCUUGUGGAUCAGAGCAGCAGUCGCCCGUGGAGACUGGGGCCAGGUUGGGCCGGAUGCUGGCUGCUGGGUGGGAAGAGUCCAGGGCCCACUGGUCACAGCUGCCUGUCCCAGGGUGGACUGUCCCAGGGUGGACAGUGGCGCUGGUGCCCAGCCCCUCCUGCUUCCCAGCACAGGCACUCCCCACCCGCAGGAACAGGCAGAUCCUCACCCCAGGGCCACGCUCUGGUUCAAGAAUCCCUUAUCUUCUUGUGGAGAGGAGGAAUCCUGUAUUUCCUGGUGGUCUCCGCAGUGUGGUCUGAUGGAAAUAGGAUGCCAACCGCAUUCAAGAAAGGAGAAACAGGCUAAGCUCAUCUUAGUUCAUUCACCCAAUCCAUCCGAAGUACGGCCACUGCACACCGUCAGCGCGAGAGAUUGCAACGUGGUUUCCGUGCUGUUUUCCACACUGAGCCUUUGGCCUCUCAGAUCACACUGGGUGCGUCUCGGGAGCCCAGCUCUGCGGGGCCAGGUCCACAUCCGGACUGCUCAGGUCUCCACUGGGCAGUGUCAUCCAAGCUGCCUUCACCAGCUCCCAAGGGAUUUCUGGUUGGAGGGAACAUGGUCACUGUCAGCUGAGCUCCUCCCACUGCUGAGGACUCCAGAAAAUGACCAGCAGUAGAGAGGGAGGGCACAGGGGGCCCCAGGGCCAUCCAGUUCCCAGCAGCUCCGUUCCCGCCGCUACAGGCUCUUACAGGCUGCCACACUCAGCUGCGUGUCUGCCGUGUUGACACUGCUGCCCUGGCCGGGGCGAAUCAGCACCUCUUCCUCCUGCGGCGUGUCGGUCUCUCUGCCCGGCCCUCCUGAAGGUGGUGGGAUACGCAUAACGUGACAUUUGCCAUUGCAACCAUUUCUAAGUAUAUAGUGAGUGGCAUUAGGCACAUUUGCGUUGUUGCACAUCCCAUCUCCAGAACUUUUUUUCUUGUAAAACUGAAACUCUGGACCCGUUGAACAACUCCUCAUCACCGCUCCCCCAGUCCCUGGAACCCACCGUUCUACUUUCUGUCUGUGAAUCUCGUGACUCUAGGGACCUCAUAUGAGUGCAAUUACACAGGAUUUAUCCUUUUGGGACUGGCUGAUUCCACUCAGCAUAACAUCCUGAAGGUUCACGCGUGCUGUAACGUGUGUUAGAAAAAGGCUGGAAAUUAUCCCAUUGCAUGAACAGACCUCAUGUUGUCCAUUUGUCCAUCAGUGAAUGCAUGGGUUGCUUCCCCCUUUUCAGCUGCUGUGAACAAAGCUUUGAACAUGGGUGUGCAAA